CGCAAGUUUCAUUCUCUCCCCCGGAGUCACAGCACGUUUAAAAUGAAACAUGUCGUAGUAUGAAGCCCUGUUACAGCAUUCAAAGGAACACGGCUACAGCCUCACUGAUGAGUGUCAAAGCCUUUCUUUAGUCUCUACAUGAUGCAAAGCACCUGCUUAAUUAUUUCAUUUAAUACAGGGGUGGGGGGGAACAGUUUAACCCUCACUGAGACAAGGGUUGUUUAUUACACAGGACUGCAAGAGGUGACUAACAGGGGCAUCUGUAUGUGCAAGGAUACAACCACUACUGUGCCGAUUUGAGGCUAAUUGGAAUUAGCCAAACCACCAACACUACUUAAACCAGGAAGGGUGGACACUGUCUCCUGGCUAAGGAGAGAACAGGAUGAGCUUGGGGAGGGGAAAUGAAGUUAGGACCCUCUAGCAGCCUGGCUAAAGAGAGCUCAUGUACUUCACCAAAAGGAGAUCCAGCAGCAAGCUGGGCUGGAAUGUGCCCUUCAUGGGGGAUGCAAUACCUGUGUGUUGAUGGGAGAUAUCUCCCAAGGGGUUCUUCUGGGAUGGGACUGCCCACAGGCUGAAUCUAUUAGCGUCCAGCAGAGCCAUGCGGUGAUGCAUCAGGCAUAAAAGUGCAGUGUCUGCUGUGUUCAUGCAUGAGUGCCCAGUGAGCACCCAGAUAGCUCACAGGGCUUUGUCAGGACCAGGAAAGCUUUUGAGCUUACACAGGGUGCUACUGUGACACAAGUCUGAACACAGAUUAAGAAAACUGGUCACACUAUGGAGGCCACAGACAGCACAGCACACACACCUCUGCCCUGCACAGCUCUCCUCCCAGGCAGAAUCAUUCCCUCAGAACCGCCUCCACCAUUGCUCCUGCUGCACUAAACCCACCCAAGCUCAUGGACCAACACAGUAGCAGUAGAAACAAGUCAGCCCUUGGUAGUGUCUACAGACUCCCCCACUCCAUCCCCAUCUUCUUCACCUGCCUGGAUGACCGCACAGGCUAAAAUCAGAGCAGGAAGCUUGCUAAGAGUGAAGCGUUGCCUCCUGACCUGGAUUUACUCAGUGGCACAGACACAGGUCUGCUGUGAGAUUCUGUAAUUAUUUUCCAGGUCAAGUAAUGUGAGAAAGGAUUUGCACAGAGCCCUCAAGCAGAAGCAGAGUUGUGUAGGGGACUGUGUCAGCUGCUCAUCUCAGCGUUGCUGGAAAUUAAAACCAGCAACUGACAUCACUACCAUUGCAACAGCAUCAAUCACACCACAAGACCAGAGGCUUUCUGUCCACUGAAUCUGGAGGUGGCUCUAAGAAAUUCUACCUAAGCCCUGCACAUGCACCCAAACUGAGGCCUGGAAGACAGAGGGGCUCAGAGACCCCUGAAGACCACCUAAGACUCCUUAAAAGACCCCCUAGUGAUGGUACUGGGCAAGCAAAACAACUCUUGGAAUAUGCUAAGUAAUUCUUAGAAGAAAAAUGAAUAUAUAAGUCAGCCCAAUAAAAGAAGAGAAAUGACCAACUUUGGGCAGAAUGCUUCCCCCCACCCCCUCCAGACUACAAGAUGAACCUCACUGCUGGGACACCACAGGUCUGUGGUGGUAGCUAUCACUACUAACCUUUUCUUUUCUUCCUCUCUUUCUCUCUCCUCUGCAUUAGCAAAUUUGUUGUUGAGCAAAUAAAUUUACUUGGCACUUGACUCCAUUUGGAGCCUUAAUUCUGUUCCCAAGAACACAAGCAAAACCUUGCUCUGGUCUUUGACCAGCAUGCAACAAAUUGUUAUAGUUGGUUUUGAACAAAAAGUUUCCAUUUGGAUCACAUUCCUCAGAAUACUCUGAAUACUGCACAGCACAGGCUAGGGUCAUGCUGACAGCAGUGCUGCUGGCAUAUUUUGGAGGUAUUGUUCUUAUCACCUUUUAGUUUUCACAACCUUCUUUUC